AUCGCUUCUCGGCCUUUUGGCUAAGAUCAAGUGUAGUGUAAAAUGUAUCUCUGGGUUAUUUGUAGGGCAUAGGAAUUUGUUCAUUUCCCUCCCCCAAUAUAGUCUGGCGCCCCACAAGGUCUGAGGAACAGUGUACUGGCC